UAAAGUUCUGUAUCUGAAAUUUGUAUUUUUCUUUUUUUUUCUGGAUUCUAUUUUGACGGAAAAUCUCUGGAAAGAGAUGAUGAUGAUGAUGCUGAGGUGGAGAGAAGCAAAUGGGAACAAGAUACGAUAGAGUAAGUCAGUAAGAGACCAGGCAAAGUAUCCCUCUGCUUCUUCAUCGCGCUUCUUUCUUUGCGCGUAACGUAACGUUCAGUUUCUAUUAAACGACGCCAUGGCGUUCAGUUUUUGGUUUGUUGACGAAAAGAUACGAGUUCCUUUAAGGCGGUUUUGCCUUAAGCACCGAGUUCGGUCCGUCUGAAUAUAGUAUGUUCU
rnacentral:lncRNA from 1 species